AUGAGGCCUCACCCCCUGGUUACACUAGUGACCAUACCCCCCCGUGCAUCCGGCAAAGGCGGAGGUGUUGCUAACAUUUACGAUAGCAAAUUUCAAUUUACAAAAAAAAAAACAAUGACGUUUUCGUCUUUUGAGCUUCUAGUCAUGAAAUCUAUGCAGCCUACUCACUCACUUUUUAUAGCUACUGUUUACAGGCCUCCUGGGCCAUAUGCAGUGUUCCUCACUGAGUUCCCUGAAUUCCUAUCGGAUCUUGUAGUCAUAGCAGAUAAUAUUCUAAUUUUUGGUGACUUUAACAUUCACAUGGAAAAGUCCACAGACCCACUCCAAAAGGCUUUCGGAGCCAUCAUCGACUCAGUGGGUUUUGUCCAACAUGUCUCUGGACCUACUCACUGCCACAGUCAUACUCUGGACCUAGUUUUGUCCCAUGGAAUAAAUGUUGUGGAUCUUAAUGUUUUUCCUCAUAAUCCUGGACUAUCGGACCACCAUUUUAUUACGUUUGCAAUUGCAACAAAUAAUCUGCUCAGACCCCAACCAAGGAGCAUUAAAAGUCGUGCUAUAAAUUCUCAGACAACCCAAAGAUUCCUUGAUGCCCUUCCAGACUGCCUCUGCCUACCCAAGGACGUCAGAGGACAAAAAUCAGUUAACCACCUAACUGAGGAACUCAAUUUAACCUUGCGCAAUACCCUAGAUGCAGUUGCACCCCUAAAAACUAAAAACAUCUGUCAUAAGAAACUAGCUCCCUGGUAUACAGAAAAUACACGAGCUCUGAAGCAAGCUUCCAGAAAAUUGGAACGGAAAUGGCGCCACACCAAACUGGAAGUCUUCCGACUAGCUUGGAAAGACAGUACCGUGCAGUAUCGAAGAGCCCUCACUGCUGCUCGAUCAUCCUAUUUUUCCAACUUAAUUGAGGAAAAUAAGAACAUUCCGAAAUUUAUUUUUGAUACUGUCGCAAAGCUAACUAAAAAGCAGCCUUCGCAAAUGGAGGAUGGCUUUCACUUCAGCAGUAAUACAUUUAUGAACUUCUUUGAGGAAAAGAUCAUGAUCAUUAGAAAGCAAAUUACAGACUCCUCUUUAAAUCUGGGUAUUCCUCCAAAGCUCCAUUGUCCUGAGUCUACACAACUCUGCCAGGACCUAGGAUCAAGUACUAUAUCUCUUGACACAAUGAUGAAAAUAAUCAUGGCCUCCAAACCCUCAAGCUGCAUACUGGACCCUAUUCCAACUAAACUACUGAAAGAGCUGCUUCCUGUGCUUGGCCCUCCUAUGUUGAACAUAAUAAACGGCUCUCUAUCCACCGGAUGUGUACCAAGCUCACUAAAAGUGGCAGUAAUAAAGCCUCUCUUGAAAAAGCCGAAUCUUGAUCCAGAAAUUAUAAAAAAAACUAUCGGCCUAUAUCGAAUCUUCCAUUCCUCUCAAAAAUUUUAG
rnacentral:lncRNA from 8 species